rnacentral:rRNA from 1 species
AGUGGCAGACGGGUGAGUAACAUGUAGGUAUCUGCCCUUUGGCCUGGAAUAACACGAGGAAACUUGUGCUAAUACCGGAUAAGUCUUUACGGAGAAAGCUUUAUGCACCAUUGGAUGAGCCUGCACUUGAUUAGUUUGUUGGUGGGGUAAUGGCCUACCAAGACUGUGAUCAAUAGCUGAUUUGAGAGGAUGAUCAGCCACAUUGGGACUGAGACACGGCCCAAACUCCUACGGGAGGCAGCAGUGGGGAAUCUUGCACAAUGGAGGAAACUCUGAUGCAGCGAUGCCGCGUGAGUGAAGAAGGCCUUUGGGUUGUAAAGCUCUUUCGUCGGGGAAGAAAAUGACUGUACCCGAAUAAGAAGGUCCGGCUAACUUCGUGCCAGCAGCCGCGGUAAUACGAAGGGACCUAGCGUAGUUCGGAAUUACUGGGCUUAAAGAGUCCGUAGGUGGUUGAAAAAGUUGGUGGUGAAAUCCCAGAGCUUAACUCUGGAACUGCCAUCAAAACUUUUCAGCUAGAGUAUGUUAGAGGAAAGCAGAGUUUCUAGUGUAGAGGUGAAAUUCGUAGAUAUUAGAAAGAAUACCAAUUGCGAAGGCAGCUUUCUGGAUCAUUACUGACACUGAGGAACGAAAGCAUGGGUAGCGAAGAGGAUUAGAUACCCUCGUAGUCCAUGCCGUAUACGAUGUGUGUUAGACGUUGGAAAUUUAUUUUCAGUGUCGCAGCGAAAGCGAUAAACACACCGCCUGGGGAGUAC